rnacentral:lncRNA from 1 species
GCCUUCGCCCGGCUGAGGGGCCGGGUACUGCGUGCCCGGAAAGGUGGUCCGGGCCUCGAAGAGAGCUUUCGGAGGGAGGGCCGUCGGGCCAGCCGCUGUGUUCGGCUUCUUACUCAAUAAUAAUAAUUAACAAGUCUACACUUCCACGUUCUCUUGCUCGUGUAGUGCCAGGCACUGUUAGAGACUUUGAAUAAUAAUGCAAGUACUUAUUGUAAACAUGAUGUUUAUGGUGACUGAUACGUGCUAGGCACUAUGACAGAUCGUAAAUGAUAAUUAUAAAUAUAAUAAACUACCAAAUUAUUAUUUACUUAUUUUUUUGCCACUCUGGUGAUGCUUUCAAUAACAACAAACAACUGUCAUAAAUAAAAGCUGCUCCACAUUAAAUCUUUGCCAUGCAACCAGCACCGUCCUGGAUCCUUCGCUAAUAGACACCAUUUAUUCAUGCAACAAAGGCUACAGAAUACAAUGAUGAGAAAAAUUUACCUUAUUCCACCUUCCUGCUAGAAUCGAGUGAAGAGACAUCCUUUGAGUAAGUAACCACACAGAUACUGAGGCUGGCUUGCUAGAGCAGCAAUUCAUUCCCUCACCACAGUGAGGACGGCACUGUGCAGUCUCCUCCCGUUGUUUACUUUUCAAGAGUCAGACAGCAAUCUCAUCAUCAUUCCUUCAGGCAUAAGCAUUUCCUCCAAGUGCUCCUGGUGCCUUUCUACUCUUGGACCAACAACAAUCCCCAGCUCAACUUCUGUCACACUGAACCGAUACAGAGGAGUGAGAUGUGGAGGGUGUGGAGUUUGAUCCACUGGCUCAUCUCCACAGCUGUUUCUCUUCUGACUUGGAUUUUUACACACUUUAACAAAGGUCUAUUACAAACUCAGUGAAGUUCUAAUGCUUAAGCUGAUUAUCCUAUCAC